UUUUUCACAUAAAAAUGUGAUAUUUGAUCUUAAUUUUUUGCUUUGAAUGGUCUUGUCUUGUGAUGUGAAAGUUAAAGUGAAUAAUACAAAGCCCAAUUAUGGCGUAGAGCAAAUUCUCCCAACCGAGGCCAAGCCCAACGGUCUAUACGGCGUCGUCGCAGCUCGAUUGCAGGCAAGAAAUUAGGAAAUGGAGACACAAACACACUAGUGCAAGCGAAGAAGCUGAAGAGAGCCUCCGUUGACAACAUCCUCAGGACCUCAACUUAUUAAAUUAAGAAUCCUGCUGCAAGUCUAUGCAAUUAUACCCUCUCGGAGAAGGUCAUUAGGGAGAGAAAUCAUAUGCUUGCACGAGAAAGGGGAUUUGGAGUUUUUCAUUGCUUAUUUGAUAUACAGGAAACAAUAACAAAAACAGGACAUGAUUGGAUUGAGUGGAGUUCAGAUAUUAACUAAUUGUGGAAGAAGAUGGAUUUCGUUCUUUAUGUGGAUGCUUUGAAACUUAUUUUAGUGUAGGAGUUGAUUAGAAACUCCGUUUUGACGAGUGGAUGCUUGAAUUUUUCGUAUAAUUGUUAUCUGCAUUGUGUUACUUUACCAUUCUGAUAUAUUGUUUUGGGGAUUUUGGAUGCUUUAGGCCCAGCGUACUUUUACUUUUAUGAAUCCGAUUUAUAAAAUUGUACUUUGACAUGAUGUUUUAGUAAUUGAAUGUUGUAAGCUUUCAAUUUUGUAUUCUAGUUGAAUUUUGGAAGUAUUUUCACAUAAUCCUGCAGCAUAUUUGCAAUGAUGGUGCGGGUCUGUAUUUGAUGGAUUGAAUUGAUUAAAACUUAACAUCUUUCUUUAGAAUGUUACACUGCAAGUCAAUGCAAUUAUGCCCUCUCGCCCUCUCGGAGGCGGUCUUCAGUGAGAGAAAUUGUAUGCUUGCAUUUGUAAUCGUAUACAGAAAACAAACAAUAACAAAAAAAGUACAUGAUUGGAUUGAAUGGAAUUCAGAAAUAAACUAUUUUUGGAAGACGAUAGAUUUAGUUGUUUGUGCCGAUGAUUUGAAGCUUGUUUUAGUGUUGGAGUAAGAGUUUGUUUAGAAACUCCGUUUUGAUGAGUGGAUGCUUGACUUUUUUGUAUAAACGUGAUCGGUAUUGGGAUUAGGAUAGUUUGGCAGUCAGAGGAUAGAGGUGGCAUAUAGCUCGUUGUGACCCCUAGAAUAAUGUAAUUUUUUUUUGCAUAUGUUGAACAUCUGAAUAUAUGAGGAGAGUACGGGUCAAAGCAAGCCUUGCAUCAUCUGAAUAAGUAGUUAAGACCACGCCCUUAACAAUGACCAUGCAUUUUGGUUGCUUUAACUGAUUCCAGCCAUUUAAACAUUUAUUUAUGGGAACAAAGACUCCUGGUAGGUUACCUAAUGUGUUAUCUGCUAAACUUGAUUCGUAUUGCUCCUAUGGAAGUUUGUGAUGUUGAAUUAAAUGAAUCUUUUUGUAUCGGUUAGCUCCCAUACUGUGAUAAUCCAACAUAUUACUACAAGCCAAUUAAGUUCUUGUUGGUUAAAGAGAGCCUGAUCAGCCUGUUUUGGCGUCUACUUUAUUGAUUCUAACAUAUCAAGUACAACUUGAGCUCUCUGCAUUCUUGAACAAUUUCUCUAUUUUGAUGGACAUUUCAGCCUAAAGCUAGAAUUUGCAUCUUUGUGAAAUUCAUUAUGCUAGCUAGCCACUGAAGUUUAUAAACCUGAAUAUUUAUGCUUUUGCACAUUUGUGGAAAUAGCUCUAAAUUAAGGUUUUUCUUUUUAAUACUUUAGGUGAUAGUGUAGAUAGAUAAUAAAUCCUAUAAUAUAUGCUUAUCCAUCACAAACUUUGAUGGAUUUUUGAAAAAUUUUGAGCUUGUGUGUUUCAAAUUCUUCAAAUGUUAACACAUAUUGUCAGUCUAAUAGUAUUAUCUAAAGUAGAGGCCCCUCAUUAUCUUUUCCUGUGCACGUUUAGCAUUCUUCCUGUCCGCUCGUAAAUUCUUUCAGGUAACUGAUUUUUAGGUCGUCAUCGCAGAUACCAUGUCGGUGAAACCUACAGUUGCAUUGCGCGCUAUACUCGUAGGAGGGAUAGCUGCAUUUGCUAAAAUAGGAGGUGCGAUGAAAGCUGCUGGUGGAGUGAAGCUUGGCGCUGCAGCUGCUGCCGUGAGUGCCGCAGCAACCGCCGCCGUUUCCGGGUCGAAGCAGGAGGUCAAGGAUGCUCCAGAACAGGCUUCAAAAUGAUUUGAACCUUAUGCAAUUUUAUUUUGCAAUAAAUGGAAGCCUAUAGUUGAAUGACACUGUAGCAUAAUGGUUGGUCCCUGGCAGCCAUUAGUGUUAGGUUGUUGUAAUCUGCUGAGAGGGAUAAACAAACACGUGAAGAAAUUUUGUAUUUUACUGAAAACUUCACUCGUCUCUGUGUCCGAAGACGGCAGCUAGGGAUGUAAAUGAAUCGAUUAAACUCUCACAUUGUUUGACUGAGAUUGUUUGGAUUUGGAUUUUUUCUUUUUUGGUGAGAUAAAA